UCAAUGAGGAUCCAUUUCCUGGACAACACCAAUUGCAACAAGUACUGCAGAAUGGGAAUGUUAGUGCACACGCAGCUGCUGCUCGUUCCGAGAACCUUCCUUUGAUUACUAUGACUAGUACUACGGCGCCAUCAACAUUUGGCUGGGAGUCUGCUGUGCUCAUGUCUUCUGCUUUCAUCCAAAAUGAUCACCAGAGCGUUAAUGAUCAAACGGAGUAGCAGCUAGCCACCUGUUUGAUUGAUCAGUCGCACUGUGCAUGUUGAACAAGCAAUGCGGUUGCUUAAUUAGUUAAUUUAUAUGUAGAAAUUAGUCCUAGCUAGGGUUUGAAAUAUCAUAUGAAAUGUGAUUUUGUGUGUGCUAUCUCUAUUCUUAAUUAUUCGACUACCCCAACAUCGCUCUACGAAUGGGGGCGUAUAUCAAUGUAUUGUCGAUCACGUUUGUAAUAUCAUCUAUCUAUCUAUAUAUGUUACCGGUAUUGUAAAACAAACAUAAAUUUGAUCAAUGUUAAUUAAUUUGUAUUUAGAAGUAUAUAGAGUAAUUUAUGCGUGAAUCAAUUUCAUGUUUAAUACAUCUACCACAUUUAUCACUUUGCAUACAUAUAUAGGGUUUGUAAGGAUGACAAAUGCACAAAAAAGACCCGUGGUUAUAAUUUAAACACUUUGCAUGCAUACAUCCAUACAGUGUAAGAUGCUUAAUUAAAGUUAAUCUUCAUGGAAGGAAAUUAUAUAUCUGUUCAUUCUUUCUAAAGUGUGAUAUUCACCGCAUGCACAAGUUCAUGGAGGGGGAUCGACAUGUUAAUUCAAUGAAGAAGAAGGUGCAAAAUAUCCCGAAAGUUCUUAAAACAUUGAAGCUUUCACUUUACAUUCAUGAUCAAUAUUGGGACUUAAUCUAUUCUUUGAUGUUUAUAUCUCAUAUAUAUACUAACUAGAAACUAAUGAUAUAUGACAAUCAGAUAUACAUAUAUAGAUGACAUGAACAUAUAAAAAUCUUCUUUUCUUAAAUCCCAAAUAAAUCUUGUACUAAUGUUUUUUGGUAUAUCUGCUUUCAUUUUGUGCACAAGCGUGGUAAAUAUUUGACAUCUUUCUGAAAUCUUAUUACAUGUAGCAUAUGAUACAUCUGGGAGAUAAAAGACUAGUUCUACAACCAUAUUUUAAACAAAUUGAUCGUUGAGGGUAAGUAUGAAAAAUGAGUAAAUAAAGCUAGAUAUGAUUCCAAAAUACGUUACAGGGCAAAGAUCUUGCGUGCAUAAAAGGUUAUAAUCAUUGUAGAAAUUAAGAUGUCACAUUCACAAUCUACAUCAUCAAAAACAUUUGAGGCGAUAACAAAAACACGAAACAUAGUAGUGUUUAUCAUUUCCCUAUACACGACUAGCUCCAAAAACUUAAACGGAUAGGGUAGGGAAUAUUGCAACAAUGUAUCAAGGUUAUAGACACAACUACUGAUGUAAAAUGAACAAGAGAAAGAGAAAGAUUAAAAAGUUCUUAUAUAUGAAAGAUCAAUGCAUGGUAUUAGUUAGAAAUAUGUUUUGGUGCAAACUUAAGUAGUGAGCACGUAUUCUUGCUUUCUGUUAGUAGAAGGUGAAUAACCGUUUAAUUUGAACAUAAGUACUCAAACCUAUUCAUACAUAUACACCUUAGAAGACAUUAAUUUGAUUAAAGGCUUGAAGUUCUAACCGUAUUUAUAACUUUAAACUCAAGCUAGUUAUACUACGAAAAAUCUGGGGUUAAUUAAGCCACUGUUACUGAUUCCUAAAACCACUGAUAGCUGUGGCCGUAGGCCAAUUACCACAGGCCAGGCCACAUACCAAUAUGAAAAGGAACUUAGCAUAUAUAACCUUGUGAUCAACUACUUUAUGAAUAAUUCGUCAGUUUUCUAUUCUGGUAUGCAUUUUUGUAGCCAUUUGUCUAUUUGAAACAGUGUGCAUGUAUUUUUGGGCAUUAGUGUAACAUCGUAAUCUAUCCCGUAUUCAUCUACGUGUUUGAGUGAAGUAGGUAUCGUGAAGGUAACAGAGAGAACUAAAGAUGGAAGCUAUAGGAAACAAAAAUGGCAUUCAGAAAACACAGGUUGACGAUUCUCAAAGCCUAUAACAUAGGGAGUUAAAUAUAAAGUGACAAUUAAAUUGCCAUGAGUUUGAGGGGUCGAGGGUAUAUUGAUAGGCAAAGAUGGUAUUUGUUAAAGCAACACUCAUAUAUAUUUGAGAAUUAUUCUGUGGUACUGAAAUAUCUCUAUCGUAGUAAAAAUGCUAAAUGGUAAAUGGUUUGCAGCAUGAACAUUUCGAGAACAGUGUAUUUUUGGGGUGUUCUAGAACAUUUGGUAUGCAGAUUGUGUUUAGAUAGAAUUAGUACGCAGUAUGUUAAGUCCACACACGAUAUAUGUAGGUUCUCAGCAAACCCCAAUUAAUCGAGAAGCUAUAUAAUUAAGUCAUCGUGCAAUAUUAUGCAAUAUGCAUACAUGUCAAGGAUGAAAGUCACUUACUCGUAGCAGAACAUGAUAUAAUUCUUCAAUGUGUAGACUUGAUCAUCUGUGGAACAAGAUUUUGUUGAUUACUUUCAAUCAGCCUCCCUCCCAACAUUUCUGAUGCGAUCGUCGUGUGAGCUUCCUGCAGAAUCAUGCAUGGAGAAUAAAACGAAAUCAGUGGAGUAUACGCCCUAGAUGCAUAUAUGCAUGUUAAUCAUAUGCUGACCGCUGGAUAACAUCAACAUGGUCGUUCUAAUUAUUUAAGAUAAAAGAUGGCUCACACACCUGGCCAAUGGCUUAUUGCACCCUAUCUCCCUCUAUGACAUCUCGUAUAUUUUAUCAUAGCUAGGACAAUGCUAGGAGACCAAAAUUUUAAAUUAAAUGAUAUGUCACCAAUAAAAAAUAAACACAUUAAUCAACACAAAACCAUAAUUCAAUCAGCAACAUUCACGUCAUGUGGUUUACAAAAUUUGAUUUAGAAAUUGAGUAAUGAUAGGGAGACAAAUUUUGUAAUAAAUUUUUUUAGACCAAGUGACAUGGAAGUUGAUAAUUGGAUUAAUACUUAAGUGUUGAUAAAUAUUUUCAUUUCUUAUUGGUGAAACAUCAUUUAGUUUACAAAAUUUGUUUACAGAUUUAGCCUCCCUAGCAUUACUUUUAGAAUUUUGGUCUUCUUAACAUUACUUUUUUUCAUAAUAGAGCAAGGACACGACAUGUUUACCCCUCACCGCCUCAAGGCUUACGCCUCGUUUUCUGAGACCCUAUAUAACUUAACUUACAUCUUCGCUUCUAAAAGCAUAUAUUGUUUAUAGAUGUACAAUAAAUAUUACAACAAUUAAAAUCCUAACUUUUCUUUUUGUUGAUAAAAAGCCUAAAUAUUUUCACGAGCACCUCCUCUAAACAUGUGGUUCACAAACUUCAUGUCUUUUAAUAUGAGCUAUAAAAUUAGUUGGGUUGGGUUGUGUUUGGAUGAGGGACUUACAAAGUAUCAAGGCAUUAAGGCAAAUUAUAAAGAACAAAACUAUGAACCAUUACAUAAAUGCUAUGUUUGCACAAGGGAUUUUCAAGUUAUAAGAUUAAAAGCCAAAUUAUAAAGAAAAAGAUCACAAAAUGUUGGAUAGGAAGGAUUAGCUAAUCCAUUCGUGGAAUAUAUCAUUUACAAAUCUCUCUUACAUGUCUUUGUAAUGUUCUACGUACGGUACAUUUCGUAAUCCAUUAUAUCCAACAUUUUGUGAUCAUUCUCUUUACAAUUUGGCUUUCAAUCCCAUGACUUGGAAAUCCCUUACCCAAACUUUGCCAAAGGGUAUUACAAAUGCAACCCAUGAGAAUUACGCACACAUAUAUAUCUUCAUAAUAAUUAUGCAGUACUUUUUUAAUCCUGUCGUUUUAGUCUAUUUCUUCCUUAUUUAACCUAUAUUCCUUGGGACUAAAGUCCCUCACUCAAACACAGGGCAUUUGAUCCCUUUGUCGAGGCACAUGGAAGCAUUUUAUUUCUACUAUCCUAUAAUAAUUUUUGAAGAAUUCAGCCAGGUGGAGUUGGAGCUCCAGCAAACUGGAAGGGAAGGAAACAGAAGCCUACCUUGGUAUUGGGUAUGUGGCCUGAUUUUAACUGACAUUGAAUUCUAAAUGGGCCGUUUAGCCCUAACAAUAGUUGUUGUCUCCUAACUGUUGAGGACCAUUAUGGUGUGACCUUUUUUUUUUCUUUUCUUUUCUUUCUUUUUUUUUUUUUAAAAAAAAUUUCCACCCCACCCACACCAGGCCUCGAUCCUGGGACCUAAUCUAUCCCACCCCUUACCCACACCCUCACCCACACCACUAGGCUAUUCCUAGUGGCUUCCAUUGUGGUGCGACCUGAGUAUCCCAAAAUUGUUGCAUCUGACCCUCCCCUUAAAGUUCAAACUACCAGUCUUCUGCGAUUGGUAGAUGGUUGACCUGUUGCAUACCAAUUCAGUAGCUUCUACUGCAACUUGUUUGACUAUUUAAAACUUAUGUUCUCUCAAUUUCUAUUUCCUCAUGAUACACACACACACACACACACAUAUAUAUAUAUAUAUAUAUCUAACACUCCAUUGAUGUCCAUGUCCGUGAACAUUGAUACAAGCGUAUCAACUAACAAUCUAAGCUAAGCUAGCGAUUCGUGUUUGCUCUUUAGAUCCUAUAUCUGCAUAGUCAACUAUUGGGUGGGAAAACUUCCAACAAAAAACGCGGUUUUAUGAUGAUAUUCUUUUUCAUUGUUAUUUACAGACUUGCAAUUCAAGUGAUUAAACAAAUUUACUUUCACUACUCUAUAUUUGAGACCAUUUGUACGAGUCUUCCUUCUCAACAUGGGUUGUACAAGAAACAGUUUACAAAUAUUAGGGUCAUUUUAUUUUCUUAGCAAAUUGCAGUUCUUUAUCAUUAUUAACAUGCAUCAAGGUGUAAUCUUAGCAAAUUGCAGUUUACAAAUUAUUUUCUUGGGGUACUCUUCUAGGAGUAAAGGGUUAAAAAUUUUAUUCAAGUCAAUUCCAAUUCAUGAAGAACAUAAAAAAGGAGUAUCAUCUUGUUUUUGUAUUAAAAUUCGUGGGGUCAAGGGCGAGAGAUUUUUCAGUGUGCUGGGCACACGAUCGUUAUACCAGGUAUAAUAAUACAAUUACUUUAAAAUUUAAAAUUUUAUUUUUAAUCAAUUGUAUAAUGAUAGUAGGUGUACAUGUUUGUAUUCCUAGCACUUGAAAUUUUUUUAUCAAAGGCAACAAGCUUUGAGAAUUUGUCUUAUGGUGGGUCAUAAUUUCAAAUGGGUCUUAAAUGGGCACAAUUAAUGGUGCAAUUUUUUCAAGCUAUAAUAACAUUUUCUUUUUUCACAGGAUAAAUGGUUGAAAACAACCCAAAAAUUAUAUAAAAAAAAAGUGAAAAAAUAGCUCAAUGCGUACUUUUAUCAUAUGUGUGGUCGUGAUAUUGAUUUUUUUAGUAUGGAAAAAUGAUUCCAAAAAGGUGAUAAAAAUGUAAUUCAUAUGGUAAAAUGAGAUUAAAUAUUUAGUUUCCAUUCAAAUAUUUGGUACUAGAAUGAUGACAUGAAUUUCUUCUAAUUGAUAGGAUUAACCAACCCUAUAUAUGUAUCCUUUUCGAACUAUAUUUCUUAUCUAACAUCGCAUGGUGUGGCUUUUUCUCUUCCUAAAUGCUAAUGCAAAUAAGUCUUCGAAAUUUAAGAAAAACAAGGUAAAUCCCACAAGAACUCUUAACCUCAAAUCUUAAACUUCUUCAACCACCAAAGCAAACAAGAAGGAACAUAGACGAUGGAAUGCGUCGCAAGAGUUUUCUCGUAGCUAAAAAAAACAUAUAAACAUGAAAAAACAGAUAAAGGAGAGAAAACACAGUAGGAAUUUGCUACAAAUUUUGAGCCUCAUUUAACUUAAUGAUGAUAUUAACGUUGUUGGGCAGGCAAGCUAACUGAUAUAAUAAGCAAAAGCAUACCAUGUCCAUGCAUAAUCCAUCCAGCUUCUCAAAAAAGCACUUAACAUUCACAAACUUGAAGAAAACAAGUAUCAUCACAAGAUGAAAGCAAAACACCAUUUAAACAGAAAACAAGAAGCAAAAGUUUUUCAUGACUUACCGAAACAUAUUUGUCCUCGGAAACUGUACACGGUCUCCGUGGUUCGAGACCUCUUCGCCGAAUGCAUUGCUGCUCUACGAGGCUGACGCAAUGAUCAAAUGGGGUCAUGGAAAUCUCAGUAACUUAAAAUAAAGGUUGAAACUGGAAAAAGUUGUAAGAAAGAAACUUCGUGUUGUAGAAAGCUCUCUUACAAUCAUUUUUCUUUAAGCACCCAGUUUUUGCAGUUUUUGAGAGGGAAGUACACGCGUCUUUCAGGUGUUGCAGGCCAAAACUUGCAGCUCACUAGAGGCUAGAGCCAUUGCAAUGGGGGCUUAUAGUUGGAAUUGUAUGUCUGGGAUUUGACCGGUAGAUUUUGUCUUGUUUACAAGAGGAUUACCGGCUAGUAUUUCUGAGCAAAAUGUAAAACCCAACCAAACGUUCUAACCCAAAAGAAAAAGGUCAAGAGUGUUUUGUUAGACGGACCAAACUUUCUAGUCUAAACUUUUGCUGCCAAAUUCUUACUUUUCCUUCUUCCAUCCGCCUAUCAGCUCAGAGUCUGUAUCGGCAUUUUUUUUUGAGAUCCCACAUUUUAACAUGUGCUUGCAGUAUUUUUGUGUACUACGUUGCAGGGAUAAACCUAUCUCUGCAGUUCUCAGCAGUCCGCACUAAACUGCUCGAUUUGAGG
rnacentral:lncRNA from 1 species